GGGAGCAGGAGGUUACAAGAGCAGAAAACAGAUACGAAGGGACAAGGAGAUGAAAGGGAUUGGGAUGCGUGACCUAAAAUCCACAAAGAGGAAACAAAUUUUCAUCUGCUGCUUCUAAAAUUUUCUCUGGGGGUGACGGCCCAUUACUUUAAGUGAAAUCCAUCAGUCAAGCUGUGUUUAGAACACACAGUGGCUAACGAGGAUGGACGCCAAUAGGAGACAUCGGAACUCGCAGAUAACAAGAUGGGAGAAUGGGUUUGAUGGAAGUGUAGACAUGCGACUAGAGGAUCACUUGGAACGAAGCCUGUCCAGCAGAGAACACACACUUGAGAAGUGCCUAAGACCCAGUGAUAAAAUAAAACGCCCAGAUGGCGGGGAGAGACAAGAGGCUGUCUCCCAAAACGCGGAAUGAAAUAUUCUUGGAGAAAGAAAAGAAAAAAUAAAAAUCUUGGGUCGUAUGGAAGGUAA